GGGCUUGUGGUUUAGUGGUAUAAUACUCCCUUAGCAUUUGACAACUUCCUUCUCGCGGCCUCAUCAUCUUCCAUGAUGAAGGUUAAAGGAAAAGAGUGAAAAAAUCUGGGAGUGGUCCAGGGUUCGAUUCCCUGCAAGUCCA